CCAGCAGUCCAAUUCUAGUCCUUCCUCAUCCGCAGAGCAGCUUGAGUCUAAUCAUGAUGCUCUAACUGAUUAUCCAAAUAAGAAGGUUAUUAUAGAUAAGUUGUAGGUUCAGGAUAAUUUAAUUGAAAUACUAUAUUGUUAUGACGAUUAAGAUUUAAAUAUUAACUUUUGUAUGAUUUUAUUUUAUUUCAUGCAUACUUAAUAUAUAGUUCUAAAUAUGCUUUUUUCAUUUUAUG
rnacentral:lncRNA from 1 species